CCUGGUUGAUCCUGCCAGUAGUCAUAUGCUUGUCUCAAAGAUUAAGCCAUGCAUGUCUAAGUACAAGCCGAUUUAAGGCGAAACCGCGAAUGGCUCAUUAAAUCAGCUAUGAUUCAUUGGAUCUGUACCCACACUUACUUGGAUAACUGUGGUAAUUCUAGAGCUAAUACAUGCACCACGUCUCUGACCGCAAGGGAAGAGCGCUUUUAUUAGUUCAAAACCGGUCGGGCCUCGGUCCGUCACCCCACCGUGUUGAAUCUGAAUAACUUGUCGCUGAGCGCACGGUCUCCGCACCGGCGCCGCCUCUUUCAAGUGUCUGCCUUAUCAGCUUUCGAUUGUAGGUUAUGCGCCUACAAUGGCUAUAACGGGUAACGGGGAAUCAGGGUUCGAUUCCGGAGAGGGAGCCUGAGAAACGGCUACCACAUCUAAGGAAGGCAGCAGGCACGCAAAUUACCCACUCCCGGCACGGGGAGGUAGUGACGAAAAAUAACGAUGCGAGACUCAUCCGAGGCCUCGCAAUCGGAAUGAGUACACUUUAAAUCCUUUAACGAGGAUCUAUUGGAGGGCAAGUCUGGUGCCAGCAGCCGCGGUAAUUCCAGCUCCAAUAGCGUAUAUUAAAGUUGUUGCGGUUAAAAAGCCUCGUAGUUGGAUUUCAGUUCUGGACUGACGGUUCACCGCCCGGUGCAUAUACUGUCACAACAAAACAACAGCCCGCUGGCUCGCACGGGGUGCUCUUUCAUCCGCGUCCCGGCGUUUACUUUGAAAAAAUUAGAGUGCUCAAAGCAGGCUACACUUACGGCCUGAAUGCCUAUGCAUGGAUAAAUGGAAUAGGACCUCGGUUCUAUUUUGUCGGGUUUCUGAACCCGAGGGUAAUGACUAAUAGGAACAGGCGGGGGCAUUCGUAUUGCGACGCUAGAGGUGAAAAUUCUUUGGACCGUCGCAAGACGAACUACUGCGAAAAGCAUUUGCCAAGGAUGUUUUCAUUAAUCAAGAACGAAAGUUAGAGGUUCGAAGCGAUCAGAUACCGCCCUAGUUCUAACCAUAAAACGAUGCUGACCGCGAUUCCGCCGGCGUAUUCCCAUGACCCGGCGGGCAGCUUCCGGGAAACCAAAGUCUUUGGGUUCCGGGGAAGUAUGGUUGCAAAGCUGAAACUUAAAGGAAAUUGACGGGAAGGCACCACCAGGAGUGGAGCCUGCGGCUUAAUUUGACUCAACACGGGGAACCUCACCAGGCCCAGACACCGGAAGGAUUGACAGAUUGAGGCUCUUUCUCGAUUCGGUGGGUGGUGGUGCAUGGCCGUUCUUAGUUGGUGGAGCGAUUUGUCUGGUUAAUUCCGAUAACGAACGAGACUCUGGCCUACUAACUAGUCGACGGAUCUCAGCAAAUUUGGAUGUUCCAGUUCGCAGCAAGCGCUUCUUAGAGGGAUAAGCGGCAACUUAAGCCGCACGAGAUUUGAGCAAUAACAGGUCUGUGAAUUGUCCUUAAGAUAUGUUCUGGGCCGCACGCGCGCUACACUGAAGGGAUCAACGUGUCCUCGGCCCUCCGAGAAGGCAGCGGGUAAUGGCGCGUUGAAAAUCACCUUUCCAAUGGAAUUAUUAGGUGGAGAGUUUGCAUAUUGGUCUUCCACCAUGAAAACGAGGAAAUUCCCAGUAAAGCGCUAUAGUGCAUCUGAGCUUGGCGUUGAUUCACGUCCCUAUUUUGCACCUGCACUAUAUGUAAACAAAAAAAAUAAUUGGGACCCUGAUCGCUACUAAUCCGAUUGAAUGAUGCAUUUUAAUGAGGGCUCUUGUUCGGGAGACAUGGCCGCAUCUUAU
rnacentral:rRNA from 1 species